AUGGGUGCUACAGGAAAAACAAAAGAUGUCAAACCCAAAGGCAGGACUUUAGUAUAACAUCCCUCCUCCCCCAUGCCAAAGGAAAGAAACCGACACACAUCAGAAGCCUGUUACACUUACUUUUAAAGGAUAGUUUUCUAUUAGAUUAAUUAUAACCACAGAGUCUCAUAAACAGCUGCUAUUCCAUGAUGGUUGGCUCUCUGCAUUUUCGGCUGUUGCUUUUACUGUUUGAUAUCUGUGUGUGUACCUACUGGCAUGUGCUUAUGUGUGCAUAUUACAAGCUCCUUGUUUUUCAGUCUCCUAUCUACCGAGCUCUGCCUUUUCCUAUGUAAGGAGCACUUGGUGGUCUCAUACCAUUGACCUAAAUGGUUUAAGUCUUUUCUGACCAGAGAGUACUGAACUUCAUCAGCCUGUUUUUUCUACUCAGUCCAGAGGAAUAAUUCUAUUGGAGAACAGUGAAAUAGUGACUGUUCUAGCCAUAGAAAGAGAGAGGGAAUUUUUUUCCCUCAAUUCAGAUGAGUGACUGUAGUACUUCACCGUGUUUUCUCUGUUUUAGUAUUACAGGUAUCCACAGUGGACUAAUGUUCUACCUGAGGCAUAGGCCUCUCUGCUGUUUGUACUGUUCAACUGCCCUGUGGGAAAGGUGGGGGAGAACACAGAUUGGCAGUUAUUAAAGGUCUCUUAGUCACUGUGCCUGAGAGUCUAGCCACAGGUUCUCUCCUGUGAGCUGAAAAUAGAUUCAACAUUGCUGCUGCUCAGGAACACAAAGAACUGAGCUCAUAAUAUCAAAGAAGCACAAUUGGGUCACCUUUGUCACAGACUGGAAGAAAGUAAAAAAAAAAAAAA
rnacentral:sRNA from 1 species